GGGUGAGGUAACGCGUAAGAAUCUACCUAGUAGUGGGGGACAACUCGAGGAAACUCGAGCUAAUACCGCAUACGCCCUACGGGGGAAAGCGGGGGACCUUCGGGCCUCGCGCUAUUAGAUGAGCUUGCGUUGGAUUAGCUUGUUGGUGAGGUAAUGGCUCACCAAGGCUACGAUCCAUAGCUGGUCUGAGAGGAUGAUCAGCCACACCGGGACUGAGACACGGCCCGGACUCCUACGGGAGGCAGCAGUGGGGAAUAUUGCGCAAUGGGCGAAAGCCUGACGCAGCCAUGCCGCGUGUGUGAAGAAGGCCUUAGGGUUGUAAAGCACUUUCAAUUGGGAGGAAAAGUUAACGACUAAUACUCGUUAGCCUUGACGUUACCUUUAGAAGAAGCACCGGCUAACUCCGUGCCAGCAGCCGCGGUAAUACGGAGGGUGCAAGCGUUAAUCGGAAUUACUGGGCGUAAAGCGCGCGUAGGCGGCUUUUUAAGUCGGAUGUGAAAGCCCCGGGCUCAACCUGGGAACUGCAUCCGAUACUGGAAGGCUAGAGUGCGAGAGAGGGAGGUAGAAUUCCAUGUGUAGCGGUGAAAUGCGUAGAUAUAUGGAGGAAUACCAGUGGCGAAGGCGGCCUCCUGGCUCGACACUGACGCUGAGGUGCGAAAAGCGUGGGGAGCAAACAGGAUUAGAUACCCU
rnacentral:rRNA from 1 species